GGUGAGCAUCCUGGAGGGAGGAAGUCUUCCCUUUUCCCAGGGCCCAGAGGAGUGUGAGCAAGGUCCUGUCUGCACUGGCUCGCUGAGCGCCCGAGUGGAGAGACGGAACAUAAACAUCAUUGCGUGGAGCCUUGGUGAUCAGUGACAGCCAUCGCCACCUGUUCUAAUCUGAUCAUUUCUUUGACACCUUCCAUGCAACACUCAUCCUUAAUGUAAACAAAAAGAAAAUGUUGAAAAAUGACCUGCCAGCAAAGAAAUUAAAUCAUGUGUACCUCCUUGUCUAGGAAGAUGCCUUAAACCAAGGUCUCUUCUUUUGAGAGAGGAGGAAACAGAGCAAUUUGUCUACUGCUCAUUCCAGCCGGUACGUAGCAGGAGAGGGAGGGGUGAGCAUUGGCGCUCCCAACCCAACAGGUCCAAGAAGGUCCUACUUUCCUCCACCACUCAAUCUUCACUCCAAUCCUUGAAGGGAGGUGCUCCAUUCCACUCAGCACAUGAAGAGAUCGCAGCUCAGAGACACGGAGGGCCAUGCCCAAGCUGCACGUGGGAGCAUGGAGGGAAUGGAGGACCAAGGGUGACACGUGAUGGAUCGCCAGGGACAAGUGACACCAUAGCUGG